CCUUCACGAAUUUAAAACUUAUAACGUAAAGUAAUGUAAAGACGUAAAUAAUUGUCAUCGUUCGAAAAAUGUUAUUUCGGUGUAACAUACAAAAUUAGCUUUUAUCAUUUUUUUCUUUUUUUUUUUAAAUUAACGUAAAUGGUGGUUUGAUAACCUUACGAUUUAACGAAUGAAACGUAUCGAUAUCGAUGAAAUCGAAUAAAUACAUGUGCAAUUAUCUUUUUAUGGAUACAUAAAUAUGAUUAUUAAUAUACGCGUAACAGCAUGAUGCCUAUACAGAACGUACAGAGUACCGAGUACGGAAGAACAGUCAAGAUCAAGAAUCGCCUACUAAUAAAACCACGCCUCCAAAGAAUGAAUCUCGCGGUGGGGAGGCAAUCUAUGAAUUUAUAAAGUAAAGGAGCACACUUAAUUCUCAACCGGAGAGUUAUAUAUGUAUAUUUUCAACAAAUACGCUCAAACAUAGAAAUGUAACUAUUUUCUAUUUUACUCCGAUUAACUAACGAAAUUAUAUUGUAUGUGCAUACUUAUGUAUCGCAACAAUGUUGCCUCGUGGCCAUAGACAAACAGGGAUAAUAUAAAAAUACAGGGCAGGUCAUGCAUGAUUUUUCACCUAUCUAUUAUGCUAUAAUAUGCUAUAGAUAAAUUCUCAGAUUAUUUUUUUAAUUUAAUAAACACACAAACAAACGAAUGUAUUUACAGUAUAAUACAUCGAAAUGUAAUUGAUUGAAAUCACGUUAUGUGUAACAUAAAUUUAGUAACCAUA